rnacentral:piRNA from 1 species
UGGUGACAUUUAUUGUAUGUGCAUUUUCCCU